AUUGAACGCUGGCGGCAUGCUUUACACAUGCAAGUCGAACGGUAACAGGCCGCAAGGUGCUGACGAGUGGCGAACGGGGGCGUAAUGCAUCGGAACGUGCCCAGUCGUGGGGGAUAACUACUCGAAAGAGUAGCUAAUACCGCAUACGAUCUAUGGAUGAAAGCGGGGGACCGCAAGGGCUCGCGCGAUUGGAGCGGCCGAUGUCAGAUUAGCUAGUUGGUGGGGUAAAGGCUCACCAAGCCAACGCUUUGUAGCUGGGCUGAGAGGACGACCAGCCACACUGGGACUGAGACACGGCCCAGACUCCUACGGGAGGCAGCAGUGGGGAAUUUUGGACAAUGGGCGCAAGCCUGAUCCAGCAAUGCCGCGUGCAGGAAGAAGGCCUUCGGGUUGUAAACUGCUUUUGUACGGAACGAAACGACUCUGGUUAAUACCCGGGGCUAAUGACGGUACCGUAAGAAUAAGCACCGGCUAACUACGUG
rnacentral:rRNA from 1 species